AAAAUCAAUGCCCCCUGCUCAUAAGAACAAGGUUUUAAAGAAGAAAACCUUAAGCUCAUCCGUUGUCCUCGUGAUCUUUGAAGCUCCUAUAAUUUCUUUCCUGCCAAAUGCACCAACACAUACAUAUAGGGGCCAUCUUCCAUAUUGCUGCCAUUUGUGGAUUGCCUUGGAGUUCUCCCCAGCUUGCUAGAAAAUCCACCAGCCUGAGAGGCAUGACCCAUGAUAAUCCUAUUCCCACAAAAAACUAUCUCACAAGGUCAUGGCCAUCUCACAAUGUAGAAGCAGGAAAUCUACAGAUUCCCCAUCCUUCUACACAUGUAACACCAGUUCAACACCAUUACACGACGUUUCCUCAAAUUGUCUGUAGUAAGAAUCUUUAUACAAUAGGUAUAUUGAACUUGUCUUUCUUGCUUCUUAUAAAGUGCUUAUGCCUUAUGGUUUAUGAAGGGAUUAUGAAUAUCCAUUUAGACAUGCCAUAGAUUAUGUUAACAACCAUCUUGGAUCACAUCUUUAAUUCCUUCCAAGUAUUAGGAUAUGAAUCUCUUCCAUUUAAUAUUGGGUAGAUCAUGCUAUAUCUGGUCCAACUUGACUCAAGCAAUUGACCUCUUAGGGAUGAGCAUGUUCUUUUAUUUUUCGCCUUGGUCAACCUGCGUCUUGUCUUGACAAUUCUUUUAAAUCCUGGAUUUCUGUUUAAUACUUGAAUUAACAACCCCCC